ACUUAUCACAAAUAUAAAAUGAAAGUACAUGCAUUGAAGUCCAAAAUAAUAAUAAAUUACAUGUUCCAAAAAUUUAAAAUUUUGAAAUAAAUUCAUAGUUCCAAAAUAAGGUCGUUACAAUAAUCAUUGCACUAAUUCCAUGCUAGGGCAAUUGAUGUAGCCAUACUAUCACGAAAGGUAUCCAUAGUCACAAAGCUUGAUUCCGAAGUUGAUCCAUCGGAGGCAUGUUGAGACACGGCAUACUUGUUGUAUCUUUCCGGAAUAGUAGGCAUGUAGGUAGGAUCUCUAUCAAAAUUAGCAAAGUCCACAUCAACGCUAGCAUGUUCACGUAUGAAAUUGUGUAGAACCAUAGUAGCAGCAACAAUCUUCUUUUGUGUGA
rnacentral:lncRNA from 1 species